rnacentral:rRNA from 1 species
UACGGAGGGUGCAAGCGUUAUCCGGAUUCACUGGGCGUAAAGGGUGCGUAGGCGGUCGGGUAAGUCUGACGUGAAAUCUCCGGGCCUAACCCGGAAACUGCGUCGGAUACUAUCCGGCUAGAGGAUUGGAUGGGAGACUGGAAUACUUGGUGUAGCAGUGAAAUGCGUAGAUAUCAAGUGGAACACCAGUGGCGAAGGCGAGUCUCUGGACAAUUCCUGACGCUGAGGCACGAAAGCCAGGGGAGCAAACGGG